GAGGCUGUCAUCUCCUCGGGUCUAAGACCCUAGCGGAGCCUUUCGCUCCCCCAACACCCUGCGAGAAGCUGGGCUUUUGAGGGGAAACCUCCAAGUCCCUAGAGGGGUCUCAGGGGGCCACAGGCAGGCUCCCUGCUACUCAUACCGUCCCCAGACGCCUCCCUCUGUUCAGUUCCUGCGGGAGGGGACCGGCAGCUAGGCUGUGGCAGGUUUCUGACAUUUUUUUUUUCCUUCUUAGAAAUGGAAACCCUCCUUCCGGCAACGUGGCAGGAAAGCGAAGUCCCCUGGCGGUCGACCCAGGCCAAGGACAUUUCCGUGGUAGCAGGGUGUUUCUCUCUCAUCAUAUGGAACCUGUGUGCAAUGGAAGCAUCCUGGAAACGAAAGAAAAGAAGGCAAGAAAAGCCUGGACUGCUUCUGAAGCCAGCAACAAUCUCCAUGCUUUUCUCCCGGCUCCGUUGUCUCCUCCCUCCCCCUUUGGCUGCACAGUCGGCUAUCUGUACCACAGAACUCACUACAAGGCUCCAGGACACUGUGUUUCUGGGUGUCCUACUUCUCAGUUUGGAACCUCUUAGCCCGGAGUCCCAUCUGCAUCCCACACUCCCAUUAUAGCCAUCUUGUGAGUGCUCAUGGUUGUGACUUGGUAUUCACAUGUUGGGGCUCCAUGAUCUAUAUAUAAGCCAGAAUAGGAUCCAAAGCUGAACUCAGUUCUUCAAACCUAGCCUUCUGUACUUUUUAACGAGCCCAGCAGAAGAACAUGUACUGUCUUCUUAUCACACAGUCCGAAUCUAGCACUGUGGAGGCAGAUGCUAAACACUGGAAAGAAACUAAUUGGUUGGAGACAGAACAGCCCAGAAACAAGGAGCUUAUUUAGAUUUGCCCAGAAGUGACAGACAGCACAGCCAAUCAGAAAUCUCUGGGCAUGCAGGGACAUGCCUGUAGUCUCAGCAUGUGGAUAUAGUGAGGCAGGCAGGAGGAUUUAGAGUUCAAGGCUAGCCUGGACUACAAGGACUAUAUAUCUCAAUGAACUUACCCACCCACCCACCAACCAACCAACAAACAAACAAUAAAUAACCAAAAAUCCAUUUACUAGA